GACGAACGCUGGCGGCGUGCUCAACACAUGCAAGCCGAACGGAAAGGCCCUGCUUUUGUGGGGUGCUCGAGUGGCGAACGGGUGAGUAACACGUGAGUAACCUGCCCUUGACUUUGGGAUAACUUCAGGAAACUGGGGCUAAUAACGGAUAGGAGCUCCUGCUGCCUGGUGGGGGUUGGAAAGUUCCGGCGGUGGGGGAUGGACUAGCGGCUUAUCAGCUUGUUGGUGGGGUCGUGGCUUACCAAGUCUUUGACGGGUAGACGGCAUUAGAGGGUCAACGGCCACGUCGAGCCUGCAAAAGAGACAAAACACCGACAGGAGGCAGGAGAGUCGGAUCUUGCACAGUCUCAGGAAGCCUGAUGCAGCAACAACACGUACGGUAUGACUGACUUCCAGUAGUAAAACCAUUUCGCCUGUGACGAAGAGUGAGGUACAGUGAUGGGUAAAGAAGCACGGGCUAACUACGUG
rnacentral:rRNA from 1 species